AACAUCGGACAUUUUGUUCAUCACAUGAACUGCUCGUUUCCUGAGGAGUAUAUAUGUCCUCGAGCUUAUCCCACAUCUCUUUUGCAGUUUUGCAGUGGGAGAUUUUUCGACAGUCUUUUUUAUUUACAGCCCUGCACAGCAAAUUUAUCGCCUUGGUGUUGUAUUCACUCACCAUGGCUUCUCCAUACUUUAUGGUUUGCCAAAGACGGAAGUCGUUUGCUUG
rnacentral:lncRNA from 1 species